AUGGAGUGUCCUUUCCGCGAGCACAAUGUCAGCGGUGAUUACUUCGAUGAGUUCGUCUGGAGCCAUAGGAACAUCUCGAGAAGGAUCCUGCAGUUUAGGAUGGUGCAGCCCAAUGCCUCCUGUGUGCAUCGCAGCGAAGGUCACUUCAGCGGCACUGUGGAUUAUGAAAGGAGCGUGAGCUUUCUCAACAUCUCAGAGGUGCUUAUGAACGACACUGGCCCUUACCACUGCUAUGUGAAGAUAGGGAACAGCAACCCGACCGAAAAGGUGGCUCACCUGCUCGUUAGAGGUCGGCAGCCGUGGGCAGCCUCUGGGGGCCUCAGCUUGUCUGAACCUCCAGGAGGCAAAGUCACCUUGGACUGUGACUUCCCCACCAAGCUGCCCGGCAGCUUCACCUACCUCUUUUGGCUGCACGAGCAAGACCAGAGCCCACCCCGACUUGUGGCGUGGCACCUCACGUCCAGUUUCCAGAACAACAGCGGCAGCACUGGAAGUCGUUUCCAGAGCGUAUUUGACCUGGAAAAUCACUGGAGCCAUCUCACCAUUACCGGGCUGGAAGAGAAGGACAGCGGCUGGUACCAGUGUGAGGGCCUGGGAGAGCUUUCAGGCUGGCAGAGAGGGACGAGAACCCACCUCGCUGUGCAAGGCUCCUCGGCUGGCCUGCUGGUUGUUUUGGGGAGUGUUGCGUUUGUCGUCAUGGCUCUGUGCUCUUACUUUCUGUACAAGCACCACAAGAAGCUGAGGAGGCAGCGCACCGUGCAGGACACUUCGGAUCCCAGCCACAGGCACGCAGAGGACAGCACGAGGCAGCCUGCAGGCGGGGAAGCUGUCAGUGCCAGUGUUGGCAGCACGGCAGAGUACAGCGUGAGUGGGGUGCCGGGCAGAGACAGCCACUGCUGGGUCCUGCAGCAGUGCAGGGGUUGGUGACGGAGCCCUGGGGCCAGGGAUGGGGCUGCUGGGCGGUAACCAAGGCUGUUUUUUGUUCACAGCUCCUCACUUUCCCGGGAAGGAACACCGCUGCAGGGGACUGGGGACAACGAUGACAGUUCAGGAAGACCUAGUGGGACACGGGGAGCUGUGCUGCGCUUCCUGUACUUGUGGUACUGUGAAUAGUUCCCCUCCACUGCGUAUCAUGCAAAGGUCCCUAGCAAAGCCUUCUCUCCCUUGAUGGUUGUUUUUUGUAUUCAAUUAAAGCCUCUCAAGGACAGACUGUGUACAUUCAGUCUCUGCUCUACCUGGCUGUUCUGGCUGCCUGUGGAGCUGGCUUUCAGCUGCUCUGUGUCCAGCCUGGCUCAGCCCAACCCUUGUACCAUCCUCUGGGGCUGAUGCUACCCACCAGGCACAGCCACAUCCUCCUCCCGUGGAGGAAAAGCCUGGCAGCUCUGCAGGUUGAAGUAAGGCCUGCAUGGGGACUCCUCUAACCCAGGGCAGCAGAGAGGUGCUGAUGUCUCUGUUCCUGUCGCUGUCCUAUCAAUAAAAUGCUCCAACACUGCA
rnacentral:lncRNA from 1 species